AGAGUUUGAUCCUGGCUCAGGAUGAACGCUGGCGGCGUGCCUAAUACAUGCAAGUCGAGCGAACAGAUGAGGAGCUUGCUCCUUUGACGUUAGCGGCGGACGGGUGAGUAACACGUAGGUAACCUACCUAUAAGACUGGGAUAACUUCGGGAAACCGGAGCUAAUACCGGAUAAUAUUUCGAACUGCAUGGUUCGAUAGUGAAAGAUGGCUUUGCUAUCACUUAUAGAUGGACCUGCGCCGUAUUAGCUAGUUGGUAAGGUAACGGCUUACCAAGGCAACGAUACGUAGCCGACCUGAGAGGGUGAUCGGCCACACUGGAACUGAGACACGGUCCAGACUCCUACGGGAGGCAGCAGUAGGGAAUCUUCCGCAAUGGGCGCAAGCCUGACGGAGCAACGCCGCGUGAGUGAUGAAGGUCUUCGGAUCGUAAAACUCUGUUACUAGGGAAGAACAAACGUGUAAGUAACUGUGCACGUCUUGACGGUACCUAAUCAGAAAGCCACGGCUAACUACGUGCCAGCAGCCGCGGUAAUACGUAGGUGGCAAGCGUUAUCCGGAAUUAUUGGGCGUAAAGCGCGCGUAGGCGGUUUUUUAAGUCUGAUGUGAAAGCCCACGGCUCAACCGUGGAGGGUCAUUGGAAACUGGAAAACUUGAGUGCAGAAGAGGAAAGUGGAAUUCCAUGUGUAGCGGUGAAAUGCGCAGAGAUAUGGAGGAACACCAGUGGCGAAGGCGACUUUCUGGUCUGUAACUGACGCUGAUGUGCGAAAGCGUGGGGAUCAAACAGGAUUAGAUACCCUGGUAGUCCACGCCGUAAACGAUGAGUGCUAAGUGGUUAGGGGGUUUCCGCCCCUUAGUGCUGCAGCUAACGCAUUAAGCACUCCGCCUGGGGGAGUACGACCGCAAGGUUGAAACUCAAAGGAAUUGA
rnacentral:rRNA from 1 species